rnacentral:lncRNA from 1 species
GGGGGACCUAAUGAAUCAUCUAAUUGCAUAUUGUUAAACUUAGUACCAGUUCUGAAUCAUAUAGCACAUAUCAUUAUUCUUUGGAGCAGUAAAAAUAACUUGUAUGGUUUUCAAUAUUUCAGCCUACAAAUGAAAGGAGCAAAAAUCAAACUUCAAUCUGAAACAAAGCAACUGAAUAAAGUAAAGAUUACAGGAGCAGGAUAAUCACUUGUUUCGUUACAUACCACGAUAUGUCAUUGAAUUUCAGCAAUGUAGGAACGUGGUACUAGGCCCUCCACCAUAUGUAUUUGGUCCAUUGUCUUAGAUAUAAGGAACAAAAUGUACCAUAACCAUAUAAAUGCACAUGCCGGCCUUGCAGAUAGAUCUAGAGCGGCCAAGGUAUGUUCGCUAAAGAAAUUUAUUGUUCGCUAAAGAAAUAUUCCAACAGCAUGGGGGUCUGUAACAUCCGCAAAAAUCACCAACAUAAAUCACCCGUUAAAAAUCACUUUCAAAAUCCUUUUAUCAUUGAGCUCCCGGAAAUCUAAAAUCUUCCCGGCGAUUUCGCCGUCCUGGCACCCAAGCUGACAACCAUCAUUUUAUCCUCGCCCGUAAUUUUCGCCGCGUGUCGGUCGACAGACCGCUGCGCGUGCUCCGACCGCGUGCCGCAAUCGCCGCCGGUUUCCCCUUCUCUAUUUCUCUUUUUCCUCCCAUUUAUUUUCCCCUUUUUCUCUUUCUUCCUCUCUCUUUUUUCC